AGAGUUUGAUCCUGGCUCAGAUUGAACGCUGGCGGCAUGCUUUACACAUGCAAGUCGAACGGUAACGCGGGCUUCGGCCUGGCGACGAGUGGCGAACGGGUGAGUACAACAUCGGAACGUAUCCUGGAGUGGGGGAUAGCCCGGCGAAAGCCGGAUUAAUACCGCAUGAUCUCUGAGGAGCAAAGCGGGGGACCUUCGGGCCUCGCGCUGUUGGAGCGGCCGAUGCCGGAUUAGCUUGUUGGUGGGGUAAAGGCCUACCAAGGCAACGAUCCGUAGCUGGUCUGAGAGGAUGAUCAGCCACACUGGAACUGAGACACGGUCCAGACUCCUACGGGAGGCAGCAGUGGGGAAUUUUGGACAAUGGGGGCAACCCUGAUCCAGCCAUGCCGCGUGCGGGAAGAAGGCCUUCGGGUUGUAAACCGCUUUCAUACGAGACGAAAUGGUGCAGGCCAAUACCCUGUAUUGAUGACGGUACCGUAAGAAGAAGCACCGGCUAACUACGUGCCAGCAGCCGCGGUAAUACGUAGGGUGCGAGCGUUAAUCGGAAUUACUGGGCGUAAGCGUGCGCAGCGCUCUUAAGACAGGUG
rnacentral:rRNA from 1 species